rnacentral:rRNA from 1 species
UACGAAGGGGGCUAGCGUUGCUCGGAAUUACUGGGCGUAAAGGGAGCGUAGGCGGACAUUUAAGUCAGCGGUGAAAGCCCGGGGCUCAACCCCGGAACCGCCGUUGAUACUGGGGGGCUUGAGUAUGGACGAGGUUGGCGGAAUUGAGGGUGUAGCGGUGAAAUGCUUAGAUACCCUCAAGAACACCGAUUGCGUAGGCAGCUAACUAGGCCAUAACUGACGCUGAGGCACGAAAGCGUGGGGAGCGAACAGG